CCUGGUUGAUCCUGCCAGUAGUGAUAUGCUUGUCUUAAAGAUUAAGCCAUGCAUGUAUCAGUACAAGCCUGUCAAGGUGAAACCGCGAAUGGCUCAUUAAAUCAGUUAUUAUUUACUGGCCGAGACUGUGAUACAUGGAUAACUGUGGUAAUUCUAGAGCUAAUACAUGCAACCGAGUCCCAGCCCGGCUUCGCGGCCGGCGGGACGCUUUUGUUGGCUGAAAACCGAUGACUGGUCGUUCACGCGGCCAGUCGCAGUAUCUGUUGAAUCACAAUAACAUUGUGUGGAUCGUACGGUCUCGCACCGACGACGCGCCCUUCAAAUUUCUGCCCUAUCAGCUCUCGACGGUUAGCUAGUGGCUGACCGUGGCCGUGACGGGUAACGGGGAAUCUGGGUUCGAUUCCGGAGAGGGAGCCUGAGAGACGGCUACCACAUCUAAGGAAGGCAGCAGGCGCGUAACUUACCCACUCCCCGUUCAGGGAGGUAGUGACAAUAAAUACCUUACAGAGGUGCCGUUUACCGGUAUCUCUCAAACGGAAUGAGUACAACGUGAAUCCUUUAACGAGGAUCAACUGGAGGGCAAGCCUGGUGCCAGCAGCCGCGGUAAUUCCAGCUCCAGUAGCGUAUAUUAAAGCUGUUGCGGUUAAAAAGCUCGUAGUUGGAUAUCAGUGCGUGUCCACGUCCGGUAUGCGUCAGGCGCGCGCUCGUUCGCGCGUCUGCGUGUCUGGCGCUCGCAAAUAUCGGCUGGCCGCAUUCAAUUGUGCCGGAUCCGUUGACGGGCCGUUCCUUCCGUGAGGGGCCUGUCGGCGACCGGCGACGUUACCUUGAACAAAUUAGAGUGCUCAAAGCAGGCUUUCUAUGCCUGUAUAUAUAUUCAUGGAAUUGGAGAAUACGUCCCUGGCUCGGUAUUUGGUUGGUUUUGCGAGUCGAAGGGAAAUGAUUAAUAGGGACUGACGGAGGCAUUCGUAUUGCGGCGCGAGGGGUGAAAUCCGGUGACCGUCGCACGACGAACUACUGCGAAAGCAUUUGCCGAGAAUGUUUUCAUUAGUCAAGAACGAAAGUUAGAGGUUCGAAGGCGAUCAGAUACCGCCCUAGUUCUAACCGUAAACGAUGUCGACCAGCAAUCCGCAAUGGUCAUUCUAUGGACUGUGCGGGCAGCUUCCCCGGGGAAACCAGAGUAUUCGGACUCCGGGGGGAGUAUAGGUGCAAACCAGAAACUUAAAGGAAUUGACGGAAGGGCACCACCAGGAGUGGAGCUUGCGGCUUAAUUUGACUCAACACGGGACAACUCACCAGGCCCGGACACUGUAAGGAUUGACAGACUGAGAGCUCUUUCUUGAUUCGGUGGAUGGUGGUGCAUGGCCGUUCUUAGUUGGUGGAUUGAUUUGUCUGGUUUAUUCCGAUAACGAACGAGACUCUGGCCUAUUAAAUUUGACGUCUGUGCGUGCCUUGCUGCACGUCGGCGCUCGCUUCUUAGAGGGAUCAUCGGCGUUUACAGUCGAAGGAGAUAGAGCAAUAACAGGUCUGUGAUGCCCUUAGAUGUUCUGGGCUGCCCGCGUGUUACACUGAAGUGGUCAGCGCGCCGUUCAACGUCCCUCUCCGUGAGGAGCGGGCAAACGUUUGAACCCUUUUCGUGAUGGGAAUUGGGGGUUGCAAUUGUCCCCCAUGAACGAGGAAUUCCUAGUAAGCGCAGGUCACUAGCCUGCGUUGAUUAAGUCCCUGCCCUUUGUACACACCGCCCGUCGCUACUACCGAUGGAUGAUUUGGUGAGGUCGCCUAGACUGGCCGCUGGCUUCGGCCGUGCGGUCGGAAAGACGCCCAAACUUGGUCGUCUAGAGGAAGUAAAAGUCGUAACAAGGUUUCCGUAGGUGAACCUGCGGAAGGAUCAUUA
rnacentral:rRNA from 1 species